AAGUCGAACGAGAACGGAUUUAUAGCUUGCUAUAAUUGUCAGCUAAGUGGCGCACGGGUGAGUAAUGUAUAGAUAACCUGCCCUCUAGAAGGAAUAACAGUUGGAAACGACCGCUAACACCGGAUACGCCCUUCGGGGGAAAGUUUAUCGCUAAAGGAUGAGCCCGCGUUGGAUUAGCUAGUUGGUGGGGUAAUGGCCUACCAAGGCGACGAUCCAUAGCUGAUCUUAGAGGAUGAUCAGCCACACUGGGACUGAGACACGGCCCAGACUCCUACGGGAGGCAGCAGUGGGGAAUAUUGCACAAUGGACGAAAGUCUGAUGCAGCAACGCCGCGUGGAGGAUGACACAUUUCGGUGCGUAAACUCCUUUUAUAUAAGAAGAUAAUGACGGUAUUAUAUGAAUAAGCACCGGCUAACUCCGUG
rnacentral:rRNA from 1 species